GGUGGCUCACGCCUGUGAUCCCAGCACUUUGGGAGGCCGAGGCAGUCAGAUCAUGAGGCCAGUUUGAAACCAGCCUGGCCAACAUGGUGAAACCCUGUCUCUACUAAAAAUACAAAAAUUAGCCAGGCGUGGUGGCAUGCCCCCGUAAUCCCAGCUACUUGGGGGUCUGAGGCAGAAGAAUUGCUUGAAACCGGGAGGCAGAGGUUGCAGUGAGCCGAGAUCGUGUCAUUGCACUCUAGUCUGGGCGACAGAGCAAGACUCCGUCUUGGAAAAAAAUUUAAAAAAAGAAAAUAUAAAAUAUGGUAUAAGAUUAAAUAUAUUAGUUAUGAAAAUAAUUGUAAAUGGCUUAUUGAACUUAUAGUCAGUAAAAAUCAUGUUUUUGAAAAUUAUGUAAUGACUUUGGAAAAUACCAGCAAUAUAAUGUUAAGUGGGGAAAAAAGCAAGUUACUCCUCUGUAAUACAUAUGAUUUUAGUUUUGUAAUAAAAAUUCCCAACCAUAUAUGCACUUAUAGGGAAACAAAGGACCCAUCGCAAAUGUUUUCCAUGCUGAUCUCCAAAGUGGUGAGUUUAUGUGUGAUUUUUAUUUUGUUUAUGCUCUUCUGUAUUUUCCGAAUUUCAUACAAUAAAUAUCUGUUACUUUUACAAUA
rnacentral:lncRNA from 1 species